AGGAAACUGGAGUCAGUGGCUGCUUUGUGAAGAAGAAAGAGUCAGUGCUCUGAGAUCUGCCCACGAGAAACACCAAGAAGGUUUGGAACUUUUGUGAUAGGAGACAACAGCAUGGAACCCCUGCAAUGAGAUGGCAACAGACCUUGAGCAAGCACCCAAGAUUUCCUCAGCAUUCUGUGUCCAACUGUUUGCUCAGUGAGAUAAGAAAAGUGCUAUAGCUGUGAGUAAAUACUCCAGGCUUUAAGGAAAUCCUGAAGACUUGUUGCAGAAUUACACAAUGGGGGAUUUGGGAACUGAGCACACUUCUGCCAGCACUGACCAGGAUCAGAGGUUAUCAGAGAUGAAGGAGAGGAUGCUCAGCAGUGAUAAAUCUCCAGAUCUCACAGACAACAGGAACAAAACCCUGUCAUGCAAGAAGUGGACGCCAUCACCUCUGGGCCAGGUUUUAGUGGAACACAGCAGAGGAGAGCAAAGACUUCUAGGUCAGAAGAUGACCUUUCCUAAACAGUUAACCGUGAGCAAAGCCCACACCUUUUUCCCCUAUUAAUUCAUAUAAAUGUUUUCUCUUCAUAAAGACUGUAAAGAUAAAAUGCAAGUGGUCAGAGAAGAAGCACUCCAUGUUGAAAAAUAGCUUCAUUUUCUCAGUGAAGCGGAUGAAAUUUACUUGUAAAAAACCCAGCUUUUGCCAAGGACAAAUUGAUGCAAAAUCACUACCUUGCCGCAGGUUGAUUAGAAUUGUGUCUUUUCAAAGAAAAAUAGUAUUGCUUAUUAGUGGAUCUGCCAAAUUUUGUCCUGAGUUAAAUUUCUUAAAAUCUGUAAAAAUGUCAGAGUUCAGAGUUGCUAUAAACAUGCACAGGUGACAGUGAUAAGUUGUGUUUAGCUCUAACUAGGAAUUUUAAAAUGAUGUAUAGUGGGUGCAGCUGAAUGAAAUCUUGCAAACUGAUAUCAGCAAGAAAAAUGUUCCUGCUUAAUGCAGUGGGGAAAAAAACAGAGAAAGUUGCGUC